UCCAGACUCCUACGGGAGGCAGCAGUGAGGAAUAUUGGUCAAUGGGCGGAAGCCUGAACCAGCCAAGCCGCGUGAGGGAAGACGGCCCUAUGGGUUGUAAACCUCUUUUGUCGGAGAACAAAACCCGGGACGUGUCCCGGACUGCGUGUAUCCGAAGAAAAAGCAUCGGCUAACUCCGUGCCAGCAGCCGCGGUAAUACGGAGGAUGCGAGCGUUAUCCGGAUUUAUUGGGUUUAAAGGGUGCGUAGGCGGUCCGUUAAGUCAGCGGAAAAAUUGGGGGGCUCAACCCCGUCGAGCCGUUGAAACUGGCAGACUUGAGUUGGCGAGAAGUACGCGGAAUGCGCGGUGUAGCGGUGAAAUGCAUAGAUAUCGCGCAGAACUCCGAUUGCGAAGGCAGCAUGCCGGCUCCACACUGACGCUGAGGCACGAAAGCGUGGGUAUCGAACAGGAUUAGAUACCCCGGUA
rnacentral:rRNA from 1 species